rnacentral:rRNA from 1 species
UACGUAGGGUGCGAGCGUUAAUCGGAAUUACUGGGCGUAAAGCGUGCGCAGGCGGUUCGUUGUGUCGGUGGUGAAAGCCCCGGGCUUAACCUGGGAACUGCAUUUGUGACUGCAUGGCUGGAGUGCGGCAGAGGGGGAUGGAAUUCCGCGUGUAGCAGUGAAAUGCGUAGAUAUGCGGAGGAACACCGAUGGCGAAGGCAGCCCCCUGGGUCAAGAUUGACGCUCAUGCACGAAAGCGUGGGGAGCAAACAGG